AUUGAACGCUGGCGGCAGGCCUAACACAUGCAAGUCGAACGGAGUGGCGGACGGGUGUGUAAUGUCUGGGAAACUGCCUGAUGGAGGGGGUUAACGUCCGGAAACGGGCGCUAAUACCGCAUACUCUCAGGUGAGCCUAGGUCGGAUUAGCUAGUUGGUGGGGUAAAGGUCUACCAAAGCGACGAACCGUAACUGGUCUGUGAGGAUGAUCACUCACAUUGGAACUGAGACACGGGCCAGACUCCUACGUGAGGCAGCAGUGGGGAAUAGUGGACAAUGGGCGAAAGCCUGAUCCAGCCCGGCCGCGUGUGUGAAGAAGGUCUUCGGAUUGUCAAGCACUUUAAGUUGGGAGGCGUUACCAACAGAAUAAGCACCGGCUAACUUCGUGCCAGCAGCCGCGGUAAUAC
rnacentral:rRNA from 1 species